rnacentral:rRNA from 1 species
GAUGAACGCUGGCGGCGUGCCUAAUACAUGCAAGUCGAGCGAACGGACGAGAAGCUUGCUUCUCUGAUGUUAGCGGCGGACGGGUGAGUAACACGUGGAUAACCUACCUAUAAGACUGGGAUAACUUCGGGAAACCGGAGCUAAUACCGGAUAAUAUUUUGAACCGCAUGGUUCAAAAGUGAAAGACGGUCUUGCUGUCACUUAUAGAUGGAUCCGCGCUGCAUUAGCUAGUUGGUAAGGUGACGGCUUACCAAGGCAACAAUGCAUAGCCGACCUGAGAGGGUGAUCGGCCACACUGGAACGGAGACACGGUCCAGACUCCUACGGGAGGCAGCAGUAGGGAAUCUUCCGCAAUGGGCGAAAGCCUGACGGAGCAACGCCGCGUGAGUGAUGAAGGUCUUCGGAUCGUAAAACUCUGUUAUUAGGGAAGAACAUAUGUGUAAGUAACUGUGCACAUCUGGACGGUACCUAAGCAGAAAGCCACGGCUAACUACGU